GCUUGAGUAGUUUAAUUAAAAUGCUGGUUUGUGGGGCCGGAGAUGCAUUGUUUGCCUUGGGCC
rnacentral:tRNA from 1 species